ensembl:lncRNA novel transcript
AAAAAAAAGAAAAAAUAUUGGCAUUGUUAUGGCAUUAACAGCUAUAUAUAUGUACUUUUUUCAAAACAACAUUUAUAGCAUAACUUGAAUUUUCUAUUUAUUAGUAUAUACAUUUUUCUUCUUUUGAAAUGUGUAUUUUCUAGUUUAUUGGAUAUUGAAAACAAUCUUUGAUUUAUCAUUGUAAUUUAAGUUCACUGUCUCUUUUCCAGCAAUUAUUCUUUUUUCUCUUUUGUGCAGUAGUAGAAAACAAAAUCCAAGCAAGCAUAGACCGGCAAGAUAUUCAGCUGUCUGGAAGUCUGGAGAUUUUGUCCAGCAAGAAGCCCCCUAACAAAAGGCAGAAUGCCAAACUGAGUGCUGACCUCUGACAUGGCUCUGAUACCCCAGGCCCAUUAAGAGAGCCUUUUCUCCCAGCGGGGAGGUGAUAGAAUAUUCUGAAUUUUCUGUUGAAAAACUAAGACUAUAUGCAAAGAAAAAUUCCCCCCAACGGGUGCAAUUCUAUCUGGAUGAUGCCGUCUCAAAAUAAAUAGCCUGUGAGGUUUGUGGCUUAGAAGACUUGUGACCCCAUACCUCUUUGUGUCGUUUUGAAAUUUUGCCUCCAGUUCUGUUUCUCUGACAAGACCCAUGGCCACCUGCAGCCUAAUGCUGCCAUGAAGCUUUGUUCUGCUCUUUGGUUGCUGCUGGGUUCUUCUUGGAUUGAAAAGAAAAAUCACUUCAAUCAGUCCAUCUAUAAUGAAAUACUGAUCUAAUGUUUGAUACUCCACCAUGAAAUUAAAAUGAAACCGCCCUUGCCACCUCCACCCCCAGCGCCUGUUUCCGAAAGUUUUAUGAAGCUUCGUGGAUGCUUUACCUCAAAGAUGCCCUUGGGCUUCCUCCAGGAGAAUGAAGAGGAACGUUUCUUGCUGAGUCAGCUUGUCAUACAGAUCCUGAUGUGCAGCAGCAAAUUGCUCUGGCUCCGGGGGCAGGUCUCCAGCUGAAUGUGUGCCUACGAAUGGAAUCAAAGUCUCAUCAAAAUCUCAGUCAGUUCCUGAGGCAGAAGAGAUGGGUGUGUCUUAUCCAAGAUUUCUCUGGCUCCAGGGGCAGGUCUCCAGCUGAAUCUGUGCCUACAAAUGGAAUCAAAGUCUCAUCAAAGUCUCAGUCAGUUCCUGAGGCAGAAGAGAUGGGUGUGUCUUAUCCAAGAUUUCUCUGGCUCCAGGGGCAGGUCUCCAGCUGAAUCUGUGCCUACGAAUGCAAUCAAAGUCUCAUCAAAGUCUCAGUUCCUGAGGCAGAAGAGAUGGGUGUGUCUUAUCCAAGAUUUCUCUGGCUCCAGGGGCAGGUCUCCAAUGCAAACAAAGUCUCAUCAAAGUCUCAGUUCCUGAGGCAGAAGAGAUGGGUGUGUCUUAUCCAAGAUUUCUCUGGCUCCAGGGGCAGGUCUCCAGCUGAAUCUGUGCCUACAAAUGGAAUCAAAGUCUCAUCAAAGUCUCAGUCAGUUCCUGAGGCAGAAGAGGUGGGUGUGUCUUAUCCAAGAUUUCUCUUAUGGAACAAAGUUACAUCAAAGCCAAUUUAAAAGCCUAUGUA